rnacentral:rRNA from 1 species
CUACAGGUGGCACCAGGCGCGAAAACUUUGCAAUGGUUGAGAGACCGACAAGGGAAUCCCGAGUGCUUCACCAUUGGUGGAGCUUUUGUCAAAUGAAAACAGUUUGGCGAAUAAGGGGUGGGUAAGACGGGUGCCAGCCGCCGCGGUAAUACCCGCGCCCCGAGUGGUGAGCGCGUUUAUUGGGUUUAGAGCGUCCGUAGCCGGUCCUGCAAAUCCUCAGCGAAAUACUUAAUUGAAUUAAGGGCUGCCUGGGGACACUACAGGACUUGGGACCGGGAGAGGUGGGAGGUACUCUGAGGGUAGGGGUAAAAUCCUAUAAUCCACAGAGGACCACCUGUGGCGAAAGCGUCCCACUUGAACGGCUCCGACGGUGAGGGACGAAAGCCUGGGGAGCAAAUGGGAUUAGAUACCCGGGUAGUC